UAAGAUUGUAAGCUGGCGGCAGGCUUGGACAUGCAAGUAGAACGGCAGGGGGGAGUAGCCUGCGCCAUUACCGUCGAGCGGCGGACGGGUGAGUAAUGUCUGGGAAACUGCUUGCUGGAGGGGGAUAACUACUGGAAACGGUAGCUGAUACCGCAUAACGUCGCAAGACCAAAGAGGGGGACCUUCCGGCCUCCUGCCAUCAGAUGUGCCCAGAUGGGAUUACCUAGUAGGUGUGCUCCGCGCGCACU
rnacentral:rRNA from 1 species